GAUGAACGCUGGCGGCGUGCCUAAUACAUGCAAGUCGAGCGAACAGACGAGGAGCUUGCUCCUCUGACGUUAGCGGCGGACGGGUGAGUAACACGUGGAUAACCUACCUAUAAGACUGGGAUAACUUCGGGAAACCGGAGCUAAUACCGGAUAAUAUAUUGAACCGCAUGGUUCAAUAGUGAAAGACGGUUUUGCUGUCACUUAUAGAUGGAUCCGCGCCGCAUUAGCUAGUUGGUAAGGUAACGGCUUACCAAGGCAACGAUGCGUAGCCGACCUGAGAGGGUGAUCGGCCACACUGGAACUGAGACACGGUCCAGACGCCUACGGGAGGCAGCAGUAGGGAAUCUUCCGCAAUGGGCGAAAGCCUGACGGAGCAACGCCGCGUGAGUGAUGAAGGUCUUCGGAUCGUAAAACUCUGUUAUUAGGGAAGAACAAAUGUGUAAGUAACUAUGCACGUCUUGACGGUACCUAAGCAGAAAGCCACGGCUAACUACGU
rnacentral:rRNA from 1 species